rnacentral:rRNA from 1 species
UACGUAGGGUGCAAGCGUUAUCCGGAAUUAUUGGGCGUAAAGAGCUCGUAGGCGGUUUGUCACGUCUGCUGUGAAAACUGGAGGCUCAACCUCCAGCCUGCGGUGGGUACGGGCAGACUAGAGUGCGGUAGGGGAGAUUGGAAUUCCUGGUGUAGCGGUGGAAUGCGCAGAUAUCAGGAGGAACACCGAUGGCGAAGGCAGAUCUCUGGGCCGUAACUGACGCUGAGGAGCGAAAGCAUGGGGAGCGAACAGG